rnacentral:rRNA from 1 species
ACCGCGUGAGGGAAGACGGCCUACUGGUUGUAAACCUCUUUUGAUAGGGAAGAACACAAUGACGGUACCUAUCGAAUCAGCCUCGGCUAACUCCGUGCCAGCAGCCGCGGUAAUACGGAGGAGGCAAGCGUUAUCCGGAAUUAUUGGGCGUAAAGCGUCCGUAGGUGGAUAUUCAAGUCAGUUGUUAAAGCGUGGAGCUUAACUCCAUAAAGGCAAUUGAAACUGAAUGUCUAGAGUGCGAUAGGGGCAAGGGGAAUUCCCAGUGUAGCGGUGAAAUGCGUAGAUAUUGGGAAGAACAUCGGUGGCGAAAGCGCCUUGCUGGGUCUGCACUGACACUGAGGGACGAAAGCUAGGGGA